rnacentral:misc_RNA from 2 species
CCCAACUAUCCCUAUUAAUUAUUACGUUGAUCCUAGAAACCAACAAAAUAGGAUUAACGUCCUAUUUCAUUAUUCCAUGCUAAUGUAUUCAAGCGUUAGCCUGCUUUAAACACUCUAAUUUUUUCAAGGUAACAGUUCUGAUUUCCCACAACACCAAAUUAAUGACAUCACGGUUUGUCAAGAAGGAGGAAUCAGUAAAGCCAGUACAUACCGAAGGCAUGACUAACUUACUAACCCCAAAAUUCAUCUACGAGCAACAACUUUAAUAUAUGCCAUUGGAGCUGAAAUUACCGUGGCUGCUGGCACCAGACUUGCCCUCCAA